CCUACGGGUGGCAGCAGUGAGGAAUAUUGGUCAAUGGACGAAAGUCUGAACCAGCCAUGCCGCGUGCAGGAAGACUGCUCUAUGAGUUGUAAACUGCUUUUGUACAAGAGUAAAACUGUCCACGUGUAUGCUUCUGUAUGUACUGUACGAAUAAGGAUCGGCUAACUCCGUGCCAGCAGCCGCGGUAAUACGGAGGAUCCAAGCGUUAUCCGGAUUUAUUGGGUUUAAAGGGUGCGUAGGUGGAUUGAUAAGUCAGUGGUGAAAUGUUGGGGCUUAACUGGGGAAUUGCAGUUGAUACUGGUAGUCUUGAGAGCAGAUGAGGUAGGCGGAAUGCGUGGUGUAGCGGUGAAAUGCUUAGAUAUCAUGAAGAACACCGAUUGCGAAGGCAGCUUAC
rnacentral:rRNA from 1 species